rnacentral:rRNA from 1 species
AAACUUUCAACAACGGAUCUCUUGGUUCUGGCAUCGAUGAAGAACGCAGCGAAAUGCGAUAAGUAAUGUGAAUUGCAGAAUUCAGUGAAUCAUCGAAUCUUUGAACGCACAUUGCGCCCGCGCAGCAUUCUGGCGGGCAUGCCUGUUCGAGCGUCAUUU